CAUUAAUGUCUACGGGUGACGAGCCUGUCGUCCAUGAGUAUGCUUCCUUCUGCACGGUGAUUCGGUUGGUGGGUGCAGUGUGGUAGAAAGAAAAUAGUUCCUACAUGAAACUGCUCACAACCAUGUCUGUAGAUUUUCUUGAUUCAUGAUUUUCUGGAAAAAGAGAGUAUUCUUUUUGCGCUUUGAGCAUCACAAGCCAAGUGCCAUCUAGUCCCAUUAUAUUCAAGAGGGGACAGACAUCUCUACGGCCGAUAUCUCCAAC